CCAACGGUCCUUUUCAGGACCACACACUACUUCAACUAAACGCUGU
rfam:Larimichthys crocea isolate SSNF unplaced genomic scaffold scaffold597, whole genome shotgun sequence.